rnacentral:rRNA from 1 species
UUUGACAUGUACGGAAGAUCGCAGAGACGCGAUUGUGCUCGAAAGAGAACCGUAACACAGGUGCUGCAUGGCUGUCGUCAGCUCGUGUCGUGAGAUGUUGGGUUAAGUCCCGCAACGAGCGCAACCCUUGCCAUUAGUUGCUACAUUCAGUUGGGCACUCUAAUGGGACUGCCGGUGACAAACCGGAGGAAGGUGGGGAUGACGUCAAGUCCUCAUGGCCCUUAUAGGUGGGGCUACACACGUCAUACAAUGGCUGGUACAAAGGGUUGCCAACCCGCGAGGGGGAGCUAAUCCCAUAAAGCCAGUCGUAGUCCGGAUCGUAGUCUGCAACUCGACUACGUGAAGUCGGAAUCGCUAGUAAUCGUGGAUCAGAAUGUCACGGUGAAUACGUUCCCGGGUCUU